rnacentral:rRNA from 1 species
UGGCGGACGGGUGAGUAAUGUCUGGGAAACUGCCCGAUGGAGGGGGAUAACUACUGGAAACGGUAGCUAAUACCGCAUAACGUCGCAAGACCAAAGAGGGGGACCUUCGGGCCUCUUGCCAUCGGAUGUGCCCAGAUGGGAUUAGCUAGUAGGUGGGGUAACGGCUCACCUAGGCGACGAUCCCUAGCUGGUCUGAGAGGAUGACCAGCCACACCGGAACUGAGACACGGUCCAG